UAAUUUCAAUGGAAACUUUAGUGUUUUAGACCUUGCCCACGUAGCUGAAUGCUCAUCUCUGGAUCUUAUUUCCAGUCCUCAGGAGGACCGGUUUUGAUGACCUAGUCUGAUUACAGCAUCUUUGACAGCUUUAAAGAAAUUUGCUCCGGGGAAGGAGACAGCUGCUGCUCUGAUGAAGGAUUUUUCUGAGCAGGCCUCCCAAGCUAGACAUGUCAGUAUGAGAUGCUGCCUACGUUUUUCAUCAUGACCAACAGGUUGUUAAACUGCAAUCAAAAGCACUUAGGAGGAAUGGAUCUGUCCCUGUUAUGGGAUUUGAACUGACAUCUUUAUCCACUGGAACUUGAGUGCCCAGGACACACCAGAGAGGGGAUUUUGAGAGCGUUUCACAAGGCCUGCAGCUGUGAGCCGGUUGCAGCAUGAGGAAAAGCCCUCCAUCACCCCAAUGCACAGGAAAGAGAAGGUAAGGCGACAAUACAUUCAGUGAAGAGCCCCAGGCCAUCGAAAUGUGUCCUUCUCCAUGUUGCUACUGCUUUUACUGCU
rnacentral:lncRNA from 1 species